rnacentral:rRNA from 1 species
UGCCGGCGACCGGCGGACGGGUGCGUAACGCGUAUGUAACCUACCUUUGACAGGGGAGUAACAUCGAGAAAUUGGUACUAAUACCCCAUAACAUCGACCGGAGGCAUCUUCGGUGGUUGAAAACUCAGGUGGUCAGAGAUGGACAUGCGUUGUAUUAGCUAGUUGGUGGGGUAACGGCUCACCAAGGCGACGAUACAGUAGGGGGACUGAGAGGUCCAACCCCCCACAUUGGUACUGAGACCCGGACCAAACUCCUACGGGAGGCAGCAG